rnacentral:rRNA from 1 species
UACGUAGGUGGCAAGCGUUGUCCGGAAUUAUUGGGCGUAAAGAGCUCGUAGGCGGUUUGUCGCGUCUGCUGUGAAAACCCGAGGCUCAACCUCGGGCCUGCAGUGGGUACGGGCGAGACUAGAGUGCGGUAGGGGAGAUUGGAAUUCCAGGUGUAGAGGUGAAAUUCGUAGAUAUCUGGAGGAACAACAGUGGCGAAGGCGGCUCUCUGGACUGUUACUGACACUAAGGCGCGAAAGCGUGGGGAGCAAACAGG